rnacentral:misc_RNA from 1 species
UAUGACCAUCCUUGAGCAGUUUGGAUUGGAUAUGACGGAUUUGGCAAAGGAUAAAUUUACUCUUGAGCAAGAGUCUAAAACAAAAAAUGAAGAGAUAUUAAAGCAACAAAGCAACGAGAUUGAACAGCUACAUGUGAUUAAACAGUUGAGUCAGGAUCUGCACGCUAGCAACCAAAAGCAUGUGUUGAAGUCUGACAAGAAUAUUCACGUAGUAGUAAAUGACCUCAACCAGGAGAUAAUGCUGUUGACUGAAAAUGUUGGAGCUAUUGUAGUUGAAAAUGUAUGUCUUAAGGAGACGGUUAGUGAUUUAUACAAGUGCAGACAUAUGAUGCUAAGCGAGAUUGACCUCAAUACUAGCAGAACCAGCUAUGAAAAA